UACAGAGGGGGCAAGCGUUGUUCGGAAUUACUGGGCGUAAAGGGCGCGUAGGCGGCCUGCUAAGUCGAACGUGAAAUCCCUGGGCUCAACCCAGGAACUGCGUCCGAUACUGGUUGGCUUGAAUCCGGGAGAGGGAUGUGGAAUUCCAGGUGUAGCGGUGAAAUGCGCAGAUAUCAGGAAGAACACCUAUGGCGAAGGCAGCUCUCUGGGACGGUACUGACGCUGAGACGCGAAAGCGUGGGGAGCGAACAGG
rnacentral:rRNA from 1 species